rnacentral:rRNA from 1 species
CGUAGUAGACUACUACGUUGAUAGGUUGCAGGUGUAAAGGUAGAAAUACCAUAGCUGAGCAAUACUAAUCACCCGAAGCUUUCUC